rnacentral:rRNA from 1 species
AACGAACGCUGGCGGCAGGCUUAACACAUGCAAGUCGAGCGCAUCCUUCGGGGUGAGCGGCGGACGGGUGAGUAACGCGUGGGAACGUGCCCUCUUCUACGGAAUAGCCUCGGGAAACUGAGAGUAAUGCCGUAUACGCCCGCAAGGGGAAAGAUUUAUCGGAGGAGGAUCGGCCCGUGUUGGAUUAGGUAGUUGGUGGGGUAACGGCCUACCAAGCCGACGAUCCAUAGCUGGUUUGAGAGGAUGAUCAGCCACACUGGGACUGAGACACGGCCCAGACUCCUACGGGAGGCAGCAGUGGGGAAUCUUGGACAAUGGGGGCAACCCUGAUCCAGCCAUGCCGCGUGAUCGAUGAAGGCCUUAGGGUUGUAAAGAUCUUUCAGCUGGGAAGAUAAUGACGGUACCAGCAGAAGAAGCCCCGGCUAACUCCGUG